CGGCGGGUGAGCCGGAGUGUGCGCAGGCGCAAAGAUUGCGUUCUCCCCCUCUCCUCGCCUAGAGACCAGAAGCGUCCCUAGUUACCAGUACGGGAGGAGGCGGGCCUGGAAGGGAAACGCGCAACGGCUGAGCCUUCGGUGUGAGCACGUGUGGGGCUUUGUGACGCUGUCUGUGCCUCUAUGAUCGCGAUGUCAUUCGGAGCGCGGCCUUCUGUGCCAGUCCGUGGGAGUGUGAUUAUCUUUCUGUGUUAAGCUUAUUUUGGAGUAAGAACAGCGACGAGGAACCCCGACCGUGUUGUGACUCUGGCAAAUUAAUACCUCUUGCAGCUGCAAAUGGGAAUGUCACUGAUCAGAGGCAGUGAUAUAACACGACGUUUUUGGAACCAAUCUGCUAGACUUGAACCGCGUUCCGCCCCUUAACAGAAUGGAAAUGGUCCCUGUUUUAGGGGACUGGCCCUGACUAGGAGAACUGUAGAAUUAGUAUUGGAAGUAGACACCAGCCAGGUGACCGCUACUCCAAUUCAAUUCUGACGCUACCUGGAGAACAUCAGAUCCUACAGAACUCUUUCCAUCCUGUAACAGUGCGCUAUUUUUAAGCUUAACUCCUUUCUGAAGAAUAUCAAAUUUAACAACUGUUGGUGACCAGGUGAAUUUGGAUUACAAAAUAAUUUCUAGGACAGAAUAUGAUAUUCUCAACUUUUGGAACUUCAGGUGAGAGUCGACCAGUUUUCCCCACAGGCUCCAUGUGGUCAACGUUAUUUGCUUAGAAUUGGAAAUGGCCUUGUAUGACACUGUAUCCAACUUAUCCUAGCCUGGGGUCAGCUUUAUUAAUUCAAACAAACUCUGUUUUUUUGUUUUGAGAAAAUGCAAAGUUUGUUUAACCUCUUCAGGUUUCACAACCAGUGGCAGCAUAGUGAGUUUAUUCAUGCCAUCAUGUUGAAUUUUAUAAAAGAAUCUUACAUAUGGUUGACUGCUAACAUCUACUUGCUUAGUCUCUGAGAUGUGCCUAUAUGGGAUAGAGUAGCAAUUCCUACAAAAAGAAAGACAGGUCUAAAAGAUAAAAUUGCUGGAGUAGCAUUGAGUCGGAGUCUCUGGCAGAAUCCCAACAAACUCACAAUUCCUGAUUUACAGCCCAGGGAUUCUUAAACAGUGGUGUCCAAGUGUAAUAACAUCAUUUGAUCGUCCAAACAUUAGUUAGCCUCUUCCGUGCCUUAUAUUAUAAUGUUCUUCAGGGCAGGAAUGACCCGUAUCUUGUCCUCUGUUCCUUCUACAGUGUCUAAGUAGAUGUCAAGCACAUAGUGGGUUCUCAAUAUUUUGUUAAAUGAAUGAAUUAAAGAAGGACAAGCUAUAGCCAAAACUUUAAUGGGAGUUCGAUGUUUUUUGCCUUUUGCAAGAAUCUUGAAGCAAGAAG